ACCCUUCUAUAUUAAAAUACAUUUAGGUAGUAAUGAUUUUUCACAAAACCUAUGAAGUUUGGCGGCAUUAAAUCAUUUUAGAGGAACCUGUCUUUUGAUCGAUACCCCACGAUAAUUCUUACUUUUAUUAAAAUUUUAUAUACCUCCAUCUUAAGGACUAAUAUUUAUAUUUUAUCCUUAAUGGUACUCAAAAAAGUUAGGUAAAGGUGUAAACUAUAUAAAAGUUAAGAUGGGUUACUAUAAGUUUUAUUUAAGGAUUAUAAAUAAAAAUUUAUUCAUGAAAAAGGAUUUAUUAGUAAUUAAAGAAUAAUAUUCUUCUAUGAAAUUGAUAAACAAUGUGCACACAUC
rnacentral:rRNA from 1 species